AACGAACGCUGGCGGCAUGCCUAACACAUGCAAGUCGAACGAGACGUUCGGGUGUUGUGUCUUACGGUUUUGUCACGCGACGGAUCCUGCACUUAGGUUCGGACUAACUCUCCGACAGGGGUGCUAACAGCGAAUCAUGUCUUCUGCCCAAAGAUUUAUCGACUUUGUAUGUGCCCGCGUUGGAUACGCUAGUUGGUACAGUAAAAGCCUACUACGGCGACAAUCCAUAGCUGGUCUCGGAGGCAGGUCAGCCACACUAAGACUGAGACACGGCCCCGACUCCUACGCGAGGCAGCAAAGGGGAAUAUUGGACAGUGGGCGGAAGGCUGAACCAGCAAUGCUGCGUGAGCGAUGAAUGCAUUAGAGUAGUAAAGCUCUCUUACCCGGGAUGAUAAUGACGGUACCGGGAGAGAAAGCUACGGCUAACUCCGUG
rnacentral:rRNA from 1 species